CCGAGGUAGGGUUCAUUAUUUUCUAGCUCAUGGUCUUGGUGAACUAGUUAUUCCUUAUCUCUAUCCUCUUCCUUCACUUUUGAAGAGAAACAACUAUGAUUCCUCUUGACCGUCUUGGCAGCUUUACCAUUACCAGGUAAACUAGUCACUGAUAGAACUUCAUUUGUUGUUUUAAGACCAGUCUGUUUUUCUUGAAUUGGUUGCUCC
rnacentral:lncRNA from 1 species